UGGGGAAUAUUGCACAAUGGGGGAAACCCUGAUGCAGCCAUGCCGCGUGUGUGAAGAAGGCCUUCGGGUUGUAAAGCACUUUCAGCGAGGAGGAAAGGUCGUUGGCUAAUAUCCGCUGGCUGUGACGUUACUCGCAGAAGAAGCACCGGCUAACUCCGU
rnacentral:rRNA from 1 species